GAGGGGAAGGGCAUAGAACACAUCUAGGAGAAGCGGACACCUCUUUCUCAAAGAGCAGGUCAGAGGAGACUUCUCUGAUAAGGUGCCAUUGACCGGGACCUGGAUGAAGUUAGAACCUGAAACAAACAAAUGUCUGGAUGAGAGCUUUGUCUGACUGAGAGAAGAGAAAGUAAAGAGGUCCCAGGACCUGAGACUACCGGAUGUGUUGACAGAAAAGAACAAGCCCAGGGUAGCCGGAGUGGGUAGGAAAACAGAUGGAGUGAGAUUAGGUGACUUUCUCCAGAUCACCCACACCCACCAAAUCAGGAGUGGAACACAGGUCUCCCCAUGGAUUAGUGACAAAAAAGCUCACAGGGAGAGACAGAACGUUCCAUGUCAAGGGAUCUAUUUCAGAUUUUAUUUAUUUGAGAAAGAGAGCAUGGGGGCCA